rnacentral:lncRNA from 1 species
UCCACCUUCCACAAAACCAAAUUUUUCAAUAUAUAAUCCACCACAACACAACAAUUAUUUCUCAUGACAUUAUGACUUUCUAAUGCAUCCUAUGUACCCAUUUUUUUCCAAUUCUUUUCUCUUUUUUUUUUCCACCAUUUUUUUUCCACCAUUUUUUUUCUUUUUUUCUUUCAACAACUUGUAGGGUACUAGGAUUUUCAAUUUAAAACCACAAAACAUAACUCAUGAUCAUUUAUCUCCACAACCCAAUUAUCUCCUAUCAAAUAAUCUCCAAGCUCCCACCCAUAGCUAAAUCAAAGAAUAUGGAAAAAUAAGGCUCAAAGGGGGUGAACUAGGAUCAUAUAAAGAUACAGGACAAAUAAGGGACAAAU